CAUAAUGCAUGCCCCAGCAACCCGCUUUAACAAAUUACCCAAGUAGACUCCUCUGAUGGGGCUGGGGGGAAGGAGGGGAGGAAAAAAAUAUUGUAGCAAGUAUCUUUCUAAAGAAACGACAAGAUAAACACACAAAAAAUAGGCCUGCAGAGCUUUUCUCGAGAGGGGCCAAUUCAAAACCCAGAUGUGGUGCUGAGCAGCUGGUCCUGCAGCCUCGGGGUGGCCAGGGGGAGCCCGGAGCUGCGGUGUCUCAGGACCUGAUUUUGUGUUGUUAGGAUUAGAGGAGAGGCUUCCCGCGUAGCCAGCCAGGAGAAGAGCGGUCACCGCUCUGCAGCCUGGAGGAGCUGGAGGACGUGGAUGGAAGCCUCUGACCCCGCUGUUUGCUGCAACCACUCGGGAGACUUUCCUCUGCAAAAAGGCACAAAGCCCUCAUCAUCCUCUGCGAGGAGCACCGUGGACACUUGUUUCCUGCCUGCAGGGCUGGGAAGACAGCAGCGAGGCUCGAGGACACCGGUGAGGACGGCAGACCCCCAGGGCUCCCAACGGCGCCUCGAAUGCUCGCUCCUGAACCGCUCUCACCGAUGUUCCGAAUCACCUUGCGCAUACAGUGAAACUACAGGCAGGAGCUCGCUAAGCAACAUCUUUCCUCUAAUACAGACAAAUGAGUUUGCUUCCCCCUGCUGUCAGCUGAAGACAGCGUUUUGGUUUUGA
rnacentral:lncRNA from 1 species